rnacentral:rRNA from 1 species
GACAGAGGGUGCGAACGUUGUUCGGAAUUACUGGGCGUAAAGCGCGUGUAGGCGGCAGCGCAAGUCGGGCGUGAAAUCCCACGGCUCAACCGUGGAAGUGCACUCGAAACUGCGCAGCUAGAGUCCUGGAGAGGAAGGUGGAAUGCUUGGUGUAGAGGUGAAAUUCGUAGAUAUUCGCAAGAACACCGGUGGCGAAGGCGGCAUCCUGGACCAAUAUUGACGCUGAGGAGCGAAAGCCAGGGGAGCAAACGGG